CCAGACUCCUACGGGAGGCAGCAGUGGGGAAUAUUGCACAAUGGGGGAAACCCUGAUGCAGCGACGUCGCGUGAGUGAUGAAGUAUUUCGGUAUGUAAAGCUCUAUCAGCAGGGAAGAAAAUGACGGUACCUGACUAAGAAGCCCCGGCUAACUACGUGCCAGCAGCCGCGGUAAUACGUAGGGGGCAAGCGUUAUCCGGAUUUACUGGGUGUAAAGGGAGCGUAGACGGCGGUGCAAGCCAGAUGUGAAAGCCCGGGGCUCAACCAUGGGACUGCUUUGGAAACUGUUAAGCUAGAGUGCUGGAGAGGUAAGCGGAAUUCCUAGUGUAGCGGUGAAAUGCGUAGAUAUUAGGAAGAACACCAGUGGCGAAGGCGGCUUACUGGACAGUAACUGACGUUGAGGCUCGAAAGCGUGGGGAGCAAACAGGAUUAGAUACCCCAGUA
rnacentral:rRNA from 1 species